rnacentral:rRNA from 1 species
GAGUUUGAUCCUGGCUCAGAACGAACGCUGGCGGCGUGCCUAACACAUGCAAGUCGAGCGGGAAAGUUCCCUUCGGGGAGCGAGUACAGCGGCGCACGGGUGAGUAACACGUAGGUAACCUACCCUGGAGACCGGGAUAACCUGCCGAAAGGCGGGCUAAUACCGGAUAAGACCACGAGGGCCAUGGCCCUUGCGGAAAANGAUGGCCUCUGCUUGCACGCUAUCACUCUGGGAUGGGCCUGCGCGCCAUUAGCUAGUUGGUGAGGUAANGGCUCACCAAGGCAGAGAUGGCUAGCUGGUCUGAGAGGAUGGCCAGCCACACUGGGACUGAGACACGGCCCAGACUCCUACGGGAGGCAGCAGUGGGGAAUAUUGCGCAAUGGGCGAAAGCCUGACGCAGGGACGCCGCGUGGGUGAUGAAGGCCUUCGGGUCGUAAAGCCCUGUCAAGAGGGACGAAACCUCGUCGACCUAACACGUCGGCGAUCCUGACGGUACCUCUGAAGGAA